rnacentral:ncRNA from 1 species
CUGAACACGAUGAUAGGAAGUAGUAACAAGCACGUUUUUUUUAGAGAGUCAGCGGCUGGUGGAAGCUGAUAAAAGCACUUGUGAAUCCGUCCUGGAGUUGCACAGUCGAAGUCAAUAAGUAGGCUGUAGCCGGCUGAAAUGCCGUUAUGAAAUAAGCGGAUUAGGCAUAUGCCUAGUCAAUUAGGGUGGCAACGCGGGUAGCUCUCGUCCCUUUU